UCUGUCCUGCAGGCAUACAUGCAAAUAGGGCACUCAUCUACACACAUAAACAAAUAAACAAACAAAUAAGUAAAAGAAAACAACAAAACCAAAAAACAAACAAACACAAAAACAAAUGGGAAGUGAUGGUGAAGAACAGGCAGGGACUUGAAUCAGCACAGAGGGACGAGGCAGAAUCAGGGACAAAAGGCAUAAAUGGCUCAUUAGCCUCAGUCGGAGUGUGAGCCGGUUGAUUAUUAUCUCAGAAUUGGUCAAGUGAGCCUUAUUGGAAGAAGAAAGCCAUGGCAGGCAGCCUGGGGGUAGAUUCCACUCCAGGUCCACUCCAGGCACAAGAUGUUUCUUGGUCAGACCAAGGUUGUUCCUGGAAUCUAUGGUGAACAGAAAUACCCAGAGCAAAGAAGACAGGUGCAAAAUGGAGGCGGAGAUGCCAAGUUCUUAAUCUGCUUUUAGUUCCCCAUAGGCCACCUGCAGGCCCAAGUGAGGAGGAGUCAGCAAAAGCAGCCCGAGAGUCCUUGCUACGGAGCCCAGCUGGGCAGAGGCACAGGUUGCACAUCUCGACGUCUGGAGAGGCUGUAUUGGGACUGAACUGUCACCUGUGGAAUCCCUCCCCUCUCCCCAGGGAGAUAGUGUCAGAAGCUCUGUUUUCCCCAGUGACUGGGAGAAAUAUGCAGGCGUAGCGCUGACUGAUAACCCAGAAUCCACGUUCUCCAUCCUGGCCGCCCACCUGGCUGAUGCAGGGAAUGCACGCCACUUUCUCUGCAGCUGUCCUGUCUAGAAACUGGCCACACUACAACAAUAUCAGCUCUGCUCGUGGAGGUUGCUCACGUGUUCGACACUUUGGAAGGAAGAGAAAAUUCAAAUGUCGGAGGGAGGAAGAACCACACACUAGAUGCUGAAUAAGUCAUGCCCAGAAUCCUGGGCAGACGAAAAGUCUAACCCCAGCCAAAAGGGUCCUCUCCCAGAUGCCUAGCAGCCCCCAGCCCCACUUUCCUGUCUUGGGGAUCUUUUGGAGGACAUUACCUUCAGAGUGAGUCUGCACAGUCAUACCCACCUCUUCAGCGGGCACACAGUGUCUCAGACUCCUGGUGGAGCCCUAUAAGAAGCAUUUGCCUCGUCUCAACACAGUACACUAAGCUUCCAUCUGCUUCCAACCUGGACAGUAUGUGGUUUUAACUCUGUGCCCUUCCCUGCUGCACACCUGGAGUCCAGACUGUGGAGCUCCUGGUUGGAGAACUGUGUCUCAACAGUCUCUCGAUCUCGUGUCAAGCUGAGCUCCGCACUCACUCCAGAAAGAGCUUGUUUCCUUUUGAGCGCUUUCCAAUCCAAACAGACAUUUGAAACCACAAGACUAUGACCCAGAUCUUGGAAGAGAAGCCCUGAAAAUGAACAAAGGGCUUGCGAGACAUUUGGUGGCCUCCACCCUGCAGCCUCUGCUUGGAACAGGCUGUCAUCCCCAGGGCCUCGGGUGUGCUCAGGUCUGUGAAGGUCACUGCCACUGCUUAUCUCAGGGCCAGACCCGCCACCCAGUUAGAGCCAUUUCCUUCAUGGUGAACAGGUGUGGGGGACACUGGCUAAGAAUCCAGUUCAUUGCAUGUCACCCAGGAGCCCUGGCCUGUGUUCUCCAUCUAGGGCAGUAAAGCCUGUGCUGCCCGGCCGUCUGUGCUGUGUACGUCUCUAUUCAGCCAGUGUGCAGGCUGGCAGAUGGAAGGCAUUCUUAAAGGCUCUAUUUUUGUUGUUUUGUUUUUUGACAUUCACAGCAAUGCUGUGCUACCUUUUAAAAUAAUUGGCUAAGAACCAAUUUCUUCUCAUCGCCAGUCAUAAAUAGAGGAGUGUCAGACCACAUUGUCCAGAUCUACAGAGGCUGCCCGUGAGUCUCCGCGUCAGAAGGAAGGGUUAUUUGUGUUUGUGGUGCUGUCUUUAUUUUUAAUCUUCUCUUCUUCCUUCCCCGCCACCCCCACAGCCCUCUAAGGGGAAUUCUUGUUGAGCUGCUGGGGAUGUGGUUCAGUGGUAGGGUGUUGCCUAGCAUGCGUGAGGCCUAGCUUCCAUCCCAGCAACUCUAAGAAAAGAAAAUACACCUAAAAAUGGAAAGUCUUGUUGAUUCGAGGAACUGAAGUAAAAUUAAACUUUACUCUCUCCUAAAGCCAGAACUUACCCCAAGACUAAAGUAAGAAAGUG